AUUGAACGCUGGCGGCAGGCCUAACACAUGCAAGUCGAGCGGCAGCGGGAAAGUAGCUUGCUGCUUUUGCCGGCGAGCGGCGGACGGGUGAGUAAUGCCUGGGAAAUUGCCCAGUCGAGGGGGAUAACAGUUGGAAACGACUGCUAAUACCGCAUACGCCCUACGGGGGAAAGCAGGGGACCUUCGGGCCUUGCGCGAUUGGAUAUGCCCAGGUGGGAUUAGCUAGUUGGUGAGGUAAUGGCUCACCAAGGCGACGAUCCCUAGCUGGUCUGAGAGGAUGAUCAGCCACACUGGAACUGAGACACGGUCCAGACUCCUACGGGAGGCAGCAGUGGGGAAUAUUGCACAAUGGGGGAAACCCUGAUGCAGCCAUGCCGCGUGUGUGAAGAAGGCCUUCGGGUUGUAAAGCACUUUCAGCGAGGAGGAAAGGUCAGUAGCUAAUAUCUGCUGGCUGUGACGUUACUCGCAGAAGAAGCACCGGCUAACUCCGUGCCAGCAGCCGCCGUAAAAC
rnacentral:rRNA from 1 species